CCUAAAAGGCAAGAAGAUACCUCAGGUGGCCAAUCGGGCCCAUCCCUCCCUCCAGUGCUAAGCCCUAAAAGGCAAACAACUCCUCAUGCCAGGGAGGUGCAAAAGCAUGCUGAGGGUAUAUAAACUGACUGGUGACUUGGAGAAUUUGGGAGUUCUCCUUCUCCCCCACCGCCUGUGAAUCAUGACCAUCGCUCUCAAGCAUCGCUGGAUCCCGUGGGCGGUGACUAUAUACUCUCAGCUU